CCUACGGGAGGCAGCAGUGAGGAAUAUUGGUCAAUGGACGAGAGUCUGAACCAGCCAAGUAGCGUGAAGGAUGACUGCCCUAUGGGUUGUAAACUUCUUUUAUAAAGGACUAAAACGAGGCACGUGUGCCUUUGUGCAUGUACUUUAUGAAUAAGGAUCGGCUAACUCCGUGCAAGCAGCCGUGGUCAUACGGAGGUGACGAGCGUUUUCCGGGUUUUUUGGGUUUAAAGGUAGCGUAGAUGGGUUGUUAAGUCAGUUGUGAAAGUUUGCGGCUUAACCGUAAAAUUGAAAUUGAUACUGGCAGUCUGGAGUACAGUUGAGGUAGGCGGAAUUCGUGGUGUAGCGGUGAAAUGCUUAGAUAUCACGAAGAACCCCGAUUGCGAAGGCAGCUUACUAAACUGUGACUGACAUUGAUGCUCGAAAGUGUGGGUAUCAAACAGGAUUAGAUACCCUGGUAGUC
rnacentral:rRNA from 1 species